AACGAACGCUGGCGGCAGGCUUAACACAUGCAAGUCGAACGAGAUCUUCGGAUCUAGUGGCAGACGGGUGAGGAACACGUGGGAACAUCCCUUUCAGUUCGGAAUAACGUUGGGAAACUUGUGCUAAUACCGAAUGUGCCCUUCGGGGGAAAGAUUUAUCGCCUUUAGAGCGGCCCGCGUCUGAUUAGCUAGUUGGUGGUGUAAUGGACCACCAAGGCGACGAUCAGUAGCUGGUCUGAGAGGAUGAUCAGCCACAUUGGGACUGAGACACGGCCCAAACUCCUACGGGAGGCAGCAGUGGGGAAUCUUGCGCAAUGGGCGAAAGCCUGACGCAGCCAUGCCGCGUGAAUGAUGAAGGUCUUAGGAUUGUAAAAUUCUUUCACCGGGGACGAUAAUGACGGUACCCGGAGAAGAAGCCCCGGCUAACUUCGUGCCAGCAGCCGCCGUAA
rnacentral:rRNA from 1 species